GUUGCUCGGUCUUUAGUUUUCUAUGUAAUGUUUUGAAUAUAAAAAGAAGAUGUGGUAUGAUUGCCAAUGAGACAAUUCUACAAAAUAGACCAAAUGACACAGAAAAUAACAACCAUAGGUCACUGUACAGCCUUCAACAAUGAUCAAAGCCCAUAUGGCAUAGUCAGCUAUAAAAGGCCCUGAAAUGACUAAUGCAUGUAGUAGACUGUUGA
rnacentral:lncRNA from 1 species